rnacentral:lncRNA from 10 species
GCCCCGCCUCGCACCUCCAUUGGCCCCAGCGCGGGCCGACCGGCAGGGCCGCAGGAGGAGAAAAAGAGACAGACACAGGGAGGAGAGCACUGCACGCAGCUGAAGGCAGAGAUUGGAAUGACACCUCUGCAAGCCAAGGAACACGGAGCAUUGCUGGGAACCACCGGAAGAAGCCAGAAGACAGGCCUGGAGCUGGCUUUCCCUCACAGCCCCAGAAGGAACCCACCCUGGUGCCACCUUGAUUUCGGACUUCUGGCCUUCAGAACUGGGAGAGAAUAAAUUUCUGUUGCUUUAA